rnacentral:tRNA from 1 species
GGGCCUUUAGCUCAGCUGGCUAGAGCGUCUGCUUUGCAAGCAGGAGGUCGAGGGUUCGAGUCCCUUAAGGUCCACCA